rnacentral:lncRNA from 1 species
CUACACAGAGAAACCCUGUCUCGAAAAAAAAAGAAAGAAAAAGAAAAAGAAAAAGAGAGAGAGAGAGAGAGAAUUGAACCCAGGUACUCUGGAAGAACAGGGCUCAGGGAACCCCACAGAGGAAGAGGCAGAAGGAGUGUGGGAACCAAAGGUGAUGGAGGAGAGCAGGAGAACAAGGCCCUGUAAAUGAAGUGAACAAAGCUGAUAUAAACUCACAGAGACUGAGGCAGCGUGCACCCAUUUUCUUUUAACAUUGCAGAAUUCAGAGAUUUGCACAGAAGGUAAGUCAGCUUCUAC